rnacentral:lncRNA from 1 species
UAAGAUCUCCAGUUGGAGACAAGAGUACCAAUCCUUGUUCGACACAUUUAAUAACUUUCCAGCAGCUUUGCACUCCCGUGGUUGUUUUUGGUAGACAGAGUUUUAAGCAAUUUUUACCGUAGCUUACAUUUGCUGUGGUACUCUUGACGUUGUUACAAUAAUCACAUAAUCACAUUAUUUGUUGUAUUUGGGGCAAUUUUUUUGGCGGGCAUACUUCUGUAGGUUGGGCACAGACAUAGACAAUACUACUACCUGCUUGUGCCAUCUUGUCUUGUAUGGUAUGUGUUCAAUUUUAUCUGUGGCUCG